rnacentral:rRNA from 1 species
UAGGCGUAAAUGAUGCGAGUUAAGUGUGGGGGCAUCUACGAGAUGGCCCUGUGCUGUAGGGUAGCCGUUAAACUCGCUGCCUGGGGAGUACGGUCGCAAGGCUGAAACUUAAAGGAAUUGGCGGGGGAGCACAACAACGGGUGGAGCUUGCGGUUUAAUUGGAUUCAACGCCGGACAACUCACCAGGAGCGACGGUUACAUGAAGGCCAGGCUGAUGACCUUGCCUGAUUUUCCGAGAGGUGGUGCAUGGCGUCAGUG